GAGUGCCCGGAAGGGCGCGCGCCCGCCCCGCCCGGCCCCGCCCCCGCCCCGCAGCGCACCGGCCCCGGUGGGGCGCGGUCCGGCGGUGGCGGCUCCGGGAGCCGGUGCGGGACAUGGCGCGGUGCCGCCGGCUGCUGCCGCCGCCUCUUCCUCCUCCUCCUCCUCCUUCUCCGCUGCCGCCGCCGCCGGGGUUGCUGCUGCUGCUGGUGCUGGGCACGGUGCUCGGUGGUGCCGCCGCCUUCAACCUGGACCGCACCUUCCCGGUGCUGAAGGAGGGCGCGACCCCCGACGGCUUCUUCGGCUUCUCGGUAGCGCUGCACCGUCAGACCGAGCGGCGGGAGAGGUGUCUGCUGCUGGUGGGAGCCCCCCGAGAUGCGGAGCCGGCAAACGGCACGCGGACGGGUGCCGUCUACGCCUGCCCCCUCACCGCCUCCACGAGCGACUGCCAACGGCUCGACAUCGAGUUGAAGAGUGAACCGGACAAAGCCAUCAUCGAUGAUAUGUGGCUGGGGGUGACGGUGGCCAGCCAGCGGCAGCCGGCGGGGAGGGUGCUGGCUUGCGCUCACCGUUACACCAAGGUGCUGUGGUCGGGCAGCGAGGACCAGCGGCGUAUGGUGGGCAAGUGCUACGUGCGGGGCAACGACCUGCGCCUCAACAUCAGCGAUGAGUGGCAGACCUACCACAACGAGAUGUGCAACUCCAACACGGACACCGACGAGACCGGCAUGUGCCAAAUGGGCACCAGUGCCGGCUUCACCGCCAACAUCAUCUAUUUCGGGGCGCCCGGUGCCUAUAACUGGCAAGGUACCGACUACAUGCUGCAGCGGGAGAUGUGGGACCUGCACGACUUCUCCUACCCCAACAACAGGAACGGCAAUACUUAUAUAGGGUACACGGCGGAGGUGGGCAGCGCGGUGUUGCAGCAGGACGCGGUGACGGUGGUGACGGGUGCUCCCCGGUACAAGCACAUGGGUGCCGUGUACCUGCUGAGCCGAAGCCCCCAGCAGACGCUGCAGAAGAGCCUCCUCCUCCCCGGGCACCAGGUCGGCUCCUACUUCGGCAGCGCCGUGGCCCUGGCAGACCUCAACAACGACGGGUGGCAAGACCUGGUGGUGGGAGCCCCGUACUACUUCCAGCGGAAGCAGGAGGUGGGGGGGGCAGUGUAUGUCUACAUGAACGAGGUGGGGGGCUUCCAGUCCCAGCCCAGCCUAGUCCUCACCGGCCCCAGCUACUCCGCCUUUGGCUUCGCCGUGGCCAGCAUCGGGGACAUCAACCAGGAUGGCUUUCAGGAUAUCGCUGUGGGGGCUCCUUUCGAGGGGCCCGGCAAGGUCUACAUCUACCACAGCAGCGCAGAAGGGCUGCUGGACAAACCCCGGCAGGUGAUCAGCGGGUUGGAUCUGGACGCCGCCAACAUGCAGACCUUCGGGUAUUCGCUGAGCGGGGGGCUGGACGUGGACGGGAACUCCUACCCCGAUCUCUUGGUGGGCAGCUUGGCGGAGAGGAUCGUCCUGCUCAGAGCUCGACCCGUGAUCAACAUCCUGAACAAAACCUUCACGGUGACACCCAGCAAGGUGGACCCUGCCCGGUGCACGCCUGACUCCUGUAUCACGGUGACCGUCUGCUUCUCCUACAACCAGAGUGCUGGAGACCCCAAGUACAAGGAGAAGAUCACCCUGGAGUACACCCUGGAGGCUGACAAGGACCGGCACCCCCCCAGGGUUAGGUUUUUGGGCACCCACUCUGCCACCUACCGCGGCAUCUUCCCCAUGCCCGAAACCCGCUGUGAAUCCAAGGAGCUCCUGCUGCUGGACAACAUCCGAGACAAGCUGCACCCCAUCGUGCUCUCCAUGAACUACUCGCUGGUGGAGAAGCCCAGGAUCUUCCAGCUGGGCCCCCACUCCCUCGACGCUUUCCCCGUCCUCAACCAGGACCAGUCCCACGAGAAUGAGACCAAGAUCGAGUUCCAGAAGGAAUGCGGCUCCGAUAACAAGUGCUACAGCAACCUCCAGCUCCAGAGCAGCUUUGUCACUGACCAGAACCAGCCCCUGCCCAGGUUGAACGGUACCCAGGUGUUGCAGUACAGCCGGGAUGUGCGGAAGCUCUACCUGAGCAUCAACAUCACCAACGUGCCCACCACCCCCUCCAACGGCGAGGAUGCCCACGAGGCGCUCCUCAACGUCACCGUGCCGGCCAGCUUGCUGCCCUCCUCCGUCCGCCCGAGCGGAGCGUGUACCAUUGCAGAGACGGUGCUGUGCGAGCUGGGCAACCCUUUUAAGAGGAACCAGAGGGCAGAGCUGAUCAUCACCUUCGAGGCCAUUGGGAUCAUGCUGGACACACGGGAGGUCUUGGUGUGGCUGGACCUGUCCACGCAAAGCACCCAGGAGGACCUGCAGCCCGUGCUGGCCAAGUUGCUGGUGGACUACAGCAUCCAGUCCUCGCUGACCAUAGCCUCCUCCCAUGCCCAGUCACACUUCAGCGGGACGGUGGUGGGCGAGUCGGCCAUGCGGAGAGAGCAGGACGUGGGCAGCUCCCUCGCCUUUGAUUUCCAGGUGACCACCAAGGGCGAGUCACUGGGCACCCUGGGCACCAUCCUGCUGGGCUUCGAGUGGCCCUACGAGAUCCCCAACGGCAAAUGGCUCCUCUAUCCCACCGAGAUCCUCGUCAACAGCAACGAGACCUGCCAGCCCCCCGGGGGGGUCAUUAACCCCCUCAACCUCACCCUGCUGGAGGACCAGGUUCCAUCCCGGCAGAGACGAGAGCUGGAGGCCCCCGAGCCGGCAGAGCCCCCCGUCACCCUGGCCACUGCCAAGAAAGCGAAGUCGGAGGUGGUGCUGAGCUGCUCCAAGGGCACCGCUCGCUGCAUCUGGUUCGAGUGCCCCCUCCUUCACACCCAGCACCCCACCACCUUCAGCAUCCGUGCCCGGGUGUGGAACAGCACCUUCAUCGAGGAGUACAGCGAUUUUGACCGGGUGAAGGUGGACGGCACGGCGACGCUCUUCCUCCGGACUCACAUCCCCACCAUCAACAUGAAGAACCACACGGUGCGGUUCUCCGUGGACGUGGACUCGGAGCUGACGGAGGAGCAGCCGGCCGAGAUCGCGCUGUGGCUGGUGCUGGUGGCGGUGGCGGCCGGGUUGCUGCUACUGGGGCUGAUCAUCCUCCUGCUCUGGAAGUGCGGUUUCUUCCGACGGGCCAACACGCGGGCCAUGUACGAAGCCAAGGGGCAGAAGGCGGAGAUGAGAAUCCAGCCGUCGGAAACCAAGCGGCUGACGGAUGACUACUAAUGGGGGGGCCAGCCUUGCUGCCCCCCCUCCGGGCGCCCGCGCCACCCGCUUGUGCGACUUCUUCCAGCGGACCCGCUACUACCGGAUCAUGCCCAAGUACCACGCGGUGAGGAUCCGGCAGGAGCAGCGCUACCAGUCCGGCGGCCUCCUGCCUCGCCGGCGCAAGAAACACUGGGUGACCAAAUGGCAGGAGCCGGAGAAGUACUACUGACCCCCCCACCCGAUCCCCCCCCGGCCUCCCCCGUGCGAGGGGAGCACAAGGGCCGGUGUUUGACUUUGCACAAGUGCAUCUCUCCUUGCCCCAAUCCCCCUUGGCCGUGGCCGCAUCCCAGCGCUGGCUUCUGCACGCUCCUGUCUGCUUCACCGGGCUCGCCAGUGUGCAGCCUGGCUCUUGCACGCUCGUGCCUUGCACACUCAUGGGGAUGAGCCCCAAAUGUGCCCCCCCCCGUUCCCCGAUGUGACCGCUGCUGGUCUCACCACGUGCCUUCUCCCCAUGCAGACACUCCUCCGGCCGUGUCCCACACACGUCCUUGCACACCGGGACACGUCCUGGCACCCUGGGACACACUUGCCACCCCCCCCCACCCCCCCCCCCAUGCAUCCCCCUUCCCUGGGUGCAGGGCUCCCCUCUGCUUUCACCAAGGCUACAUGCGGUGGUGGGGAUGGGGGCGGUGGGACCUUGUUUCUUCCUCCCCUUCCUCCUCCUCCUCCUUCUCUCCAAAGCAGUGCAGGGGCCUGAUCCUGCAUGUUCAUACCCCCCCCCCCCCGAGUCCGCAUAGGCUGCAGCUUUGGCUUGGGGAGGGGGGGCAGAGCAUGAGGCUGUGUCCCCCCACCCCGCAGCCUUAUCCCCCGCUGGGGGUCUGUCCUACCCCACGGACGCUGCCCCGGGCGUUAAGUUAUUCCGUGUCUCUCGUCGGCGUUUUAGUGUUGAGCCCUGGAGCGUGGUCGGUACUGGGGGCUGGGGGGGGGGUCCCUGCACCCCCUGGCCCCCACUCGCCCCCUCCCCUGUGGCCGGGGCCCAAUAAAGCCUCGCUCCGGGAUUUGUAACCUCUUA